UUCGCCGGGGAUCGGUGGCUUGCGACGGAGCAGAUCGGCGCUUUUUCAUAGCGGUUUACGAUCGGUGCCGGAAAUCAUGCGGCGGCUAGUGAAAAUCCUCCUAGUUCCGUCCUGAGAUUGCCUAGCCACAUCGUUCGUUCGUCGCCAGGAUUUUGGUGAGUGUAUAGAUGCUGUUUCAGCCGCCAUCGAAGUCCUGGAGCAUUGACCAGCUUGGGACCUACGGACACUGAACAGAAGCGAAGGAAGAGUGCAGCCAACAGAAAAUGUACAAGGCUUGGUGAAGGUGUCCAUCCAGAUGAGGUUGUUGGUUGGCGCAGGAGCUCGAAGAUGGGCCAAAUCAAAAGAUGUUCUGUUGCCUGAAACUGUCACAGAAGCUCAAACCAUAUUCCCUUUGCUUUACCGUCAAUCAGCUGGUUGUUUUAUUCCUUGAAGAUGAUUUUUUGUGUCCUAUUGCGUAUGGGAUGGUUUACAGAGAGAGCAAACCAUAUAAACAGUGGCUGUACAGAGAGAGCAAGAAAUCAAUGAAGAGGUUCAAGAGCAAAUAGUACCCACCGAGGUGGAGGCAAAUAGUACCCACUGACAGCAGACAAACUGCUGGUGGAAUUCUAGUAGUUCAGGCGGAUGCUUCCACUGUUGUCCCUGGAGAUAGGACGGAACUAAAUGCUGCUUACUCAACAGUCGUCACAGUCGUUUUGUAUGGGAUAUUAUGGGAAGUCAAAGGUGUGGCCUUCCUCUAAGAUGCACAAAGCAAAACUUGUCAUCAUCAAUGGUGAAACUUGAAAAUAAGUUUUGAAUCAUUGGGUCUCUUGAACAGGUUUUGAUUCUUGGAAAGAAGAGAGAGAUAAACUUAUACUAUGAUGAGGUCAUUGAUUGGGCCUUACUAUGCUGGCGAAUUCAUCUAUCCUCUUCUCAAGCUAUAAAAAUAUGUACUUUCAGAUGGAAAGGAUUGAACUCUAACUCAGAAGUGGAAUUCACAGAGCAAGGCUGGAAUAGAUAUUCAGAAGCCCGGAUCAAUCUCUUCCCAACCUGUUUUUCAGUGAUGAUUACUGCUUUCUCGAAGCUAUUUUGUGGAGAAGAGUUUCAGAAUCUGUAACAUGGGACACACCAGUGGGUAACUUUUGAAUAAUGUAUAUAUAUCGUUCUGUAUCAAGUAACAAGUACAGACAUACAAUAAACGGAACCUUUUAUUAUCAACAACUUGGAUUUAACGGCGAUGUUGUUUAUUUUUCCUUCAA